GGAAACAUGGCUCUGUGGUAGAGUGCCUGCCUGGCAAGUGUGAGGCCUUGAGUUCAAAUCCCCAUACCUCCA
rnacentral:tRNA from 1 species